UCGSGGCGGUGCGCGCAGAANGGUCUGGGCUCGAGCCUGCCUGGAGCCGCCGCCGGUGCAGAUCUUGGUGGUAGUAGCAAAUACUCCAGCGAGGCCCUGGAGGACUGAUGUGGAGAAGGGUUUCGUGUGAACAGCCGUUGCACACGAGUCAGUCGAUCCUAAGCCCUAGGAGAAAUCCGAUGCAAACGGCGAUGGGAAACGCAUUGACUCGAAUGAGACAGAGACCCAUUGAUCGGGCGAAAGGGAAUCCGGUUCCUAUUCCGGAACCCGGCAGCGGAACCGUUGUUUGUCGGGCCCUCGCAAGGGGUUCGUCAGGGCAACCUAAAAGGGCCCGGAGACGCCGUCGGGGGCCCCGGAAAGAGUUUUCUUUUCUGCAUGAGCGUUCGAGUUCCCUGGAAUCCUCUCGCAGGGAGAUAGGGUUUGGAACGCGAAGAGCACCGCAGUUGCGGCGGUGCGCGGGAAUUCCCGACGGACCUUGAAAAUCCGGGAGAGGGCCWCGUGGAGGUGUCGCGCCGGCUCGUACCCAUAUCCGCAGCAGGUCUCCAAGGUGAAGAGCCUCUAGUC
rnacentral:rRNA from 1 species